rnacentral:rRNA from 1 species
AUUGAACGCUGGCGGCAUGCUUUACACAUGCAAGUCGAACGGUAACAGGCCGCAAGGUGCUGACGAGUGGCGAACGGGUGAGUAAUGCAUCGGAACGUGCCCAGUCGUGGGGGGUAACGCAGCGAAAGCUGCGCUAAUACCGCAUACGAUCUAUGGAUGAAAGCGGGGGACCGUAAGGCCUCGCGCGAUUGGAGCGGCCGAUGUCAGAUUAGGUAGUUGGUGGGGUAAAGGCUCACCAAGCCAACGAUCUGUAGCUGGUCUGAGAGGACGACCAGCCACACUGGGACUGAGACACGGCCCAGACUCCUACGGGAGGCAGCAGUGGGGAAUUUUGGACAAUGGGCGCAAGCCUGAUCCAGCAAUGCCGCGUGCAGGAAGAAGGCCUUCGGGUUGUAAACUGCUUUUGUACGGAACGAAACGGUCCUGGUUAAUACCCGGGGCUAAUGACGGUACCGUAAGAAUAAGCACCGGCUAACUACGUGCCAGCAGCCGCAGUAAGAC